UGUGCCUAUGUUUUCAACCCAAUGGUUUGUCUGUAUCACUGGUGUCUGCUGUCCUUAGUAGGAGUUAUCAAAUCAAAGUAAUGUUCAUUGCAACCAGCAGAUAGGACAUCUUGAAACCAUCUAAGAGAUCCACAGGAAAUUGCCACCACAAAGCAGAGUCCUCCAG
rnacentral:lncRNA from 1 species